rnacentral:lncRNA from 1 species
UUCCAUCAGUGGACAAUGCCGUCAUGUCGUUUGGUUCCGACACAAGUAGCACAGCCAUGUCGAGUAUCAAUGUUUCUAGACAUCAUAUAACUUUCAUUCCCUUCAAGGUUUGUUUAACACCGUGUCACGCUUUGGGAGACCGGUUUCUCUUCUAUAUAAACACGAAUGUCUACUUUAGCUGGCUGAACGCCAAACACAAACCAAACCUACAGAACCUUUGAGAAAUUGGCCACUUGUUUCAGACCGACGACUGACCAAUGCAAUCAGUCAACUGACCAGAGUAAGCACUGGCCACGUGCCGUGAGCAGACGACAGUCGCCCCUCCGCAGAAGUCAACUGCCAGGUGAGAUGUCUACACGAAGUAGUUCCCCUAAUGACGACCUUCACCAAUAUACCCAGGAAAGCACCUCCGUCGGAGCUGUUGGUGCGAUAGCUGCUGUAUGAGGGGAUGUUCCUGUCGUAGCUGCACACUAUACACAAGAACCCCUAGACUAUACUUUGUAAAGGUGGGACAAGAUUGAGACGGAGUGACAAAGACCAUAAACCGAAAAUCACAAUGGCCUCCACAACGAGGACAAGCAAUUCAAGGUAUUUCGGGCAGUAAAUCAUACAUCUCUCGUCAUCUUUCAGUUGUCAAAACGCCGCCAGGAUGAAAGAAUAAUCAUCAAGAUUGAAUGGCAUCCCUUGCAUGAUUAACAAUGGCAAUGCAUUUUUAAAGCUGGAAGCUGUACGUGUGUAUACAGCGGGAAGAAUAUGGUCUGUUCCCUGAGAAUGUCACGACUACAGCCGUUGCCAAGGGUAGGCUUGGCUGGUACCGCUACCAUAUGCCAGUGAGUGGAGACUGGUUCCACUUGCCUAUGGUACUGUCAACCGAGGAACCAUUGAUUACCAUGGUGUCUCCUGGGAUAUUUCUAAUUGAUCUCCAAUAGCAGUUUGGUGCGAUCUACCACAACUUACUGCAGAUCAAUGGAAUAAGAAAGUCCAUUCAUUUAGUCGUGGUUUCUCAUAUUGAUGCAUAAAUGACCAAAGGAUUUACAGAUAUCUGCCUUAUUUCCAUUUACACCGUUGCCUAGUAACUGAUGAAAUACAUGUAGUUCUGAAUAAAAUAUUUUGAAAAUAGA